AAAGUGUUUCUAGAAAGUU
rnacentral:rRNA from 1 species